rnacentral:rRNA from 1 species
GACGAACGCUGGCGGCGUGCCUAAUACAUGCAAGUCGAACGCAGUGGGGACGGGGGAGCAACACGUGGGUAACCUCCCAUCAGAGGGGAGAACCCGUGGACACAGGUGCUAAACCGAUACUGAUGGAUGGACCCGCGGUGCAUUAGCUAGUUGGUGAGGUAACGGCUCACCAAGGCCACGAUGCAUAGCUGGCAUGAGAGGGUGAUCGGCCACACUGGGACUGAGACACGGCCCAGACUCCUACGGGAGGCAGCAGUUGGGAAUCUUCGGCAAUGGACUAAAGUCUGACCGAGCAACGCCGCGUGAGUGAAGAAGGUUUUCGGAUCGUAAAACUCUGUUGGUAGGGAGGCGGUAUCUAACCAAAAAGCCGCGGCUAACUACGUGCCAGCAGCCGCGGUAAUUC